UACGUAGGGCGCAAGCGUUGUCCGGAAUUAUUGGGCGUAAAGAGCUCGUAGGCGGCUUGUCACGUCGGGUGUGAAAGCCCGGGGCUUAACCCCGGGCCUGCAGCCGAUACGGGCAAGCGUAGAAUUCGGUAGGGGAGACUGGAAUUCCUGGUGUAGCGGUGAAAUGCGCAGAUAUCAGGAGGAACACCGGUGGCGAAGGCGGGUCUCUGGGCCGAUACUGACGCUGAGGAGCGAAAGCGUGGGGAGCGAACAGG
rnacentral:rRNA from 1 species